CAUUGAAGCACCAGUUCCCGUACAAGCACUGAAGUUAAGCAACACUGAGCCUAGUCAGUAUCUAGAUGAGUGACCGCUUGGAAAUAUGCGUGUGG